rnacentral:lncRNA from 1 species
AAAGUGCAAGAAAAAAAGCUUUGCUGUAAAAAUCAGGUGGCAAAGAGGAGACACAAGUUACAGCUUGUGAUCUCACAAUGAAGAUGAGCUCGAGCGUUCUGGGAGCUUGUGAAUCAUGAGACAGUGUUAUCUGAGAAGAGCACAGGUUUGAAAAGCAUGAAGGAAACACAAUACUCUGCCUUGGAAGUCAAAAAAAUUAUUAAAUACAUGAUUUUAAAAAACUGUCAUUAACAUACAAACUGAUCCCUUCCCUUACAAAAGUCUAAUCUUUUGCUUUAACCUCCCAAAAAGAAAAAAAGCAUCGUAGAGGAAAGUUUCAACAUAAAGAGGAACAGAAGAGUCACACAUAACAAAAAUCUAUUCACCUUUGGGUGUGUCCUCCUUUUACGCAUACUCUGAAACAAACAAGUUGAGGCAAGGCAGCAAUCCCUGUUCUUGGAAUCUUUGAACAUAAAAAUUUAAAACAAGUGAUUUGCCUCUAAAACAUUUGAAAAAUAAUAAUAACAAAAACUGUCACAUUAAUAUUGUUAUGCCCCAGAAGGUACAUGUGUGGAGACGGAGACUCUAAUUCAUUGUGAAGUAUACUUUGAUAAGUCUGAUCUUUAAUGGUUCCUGGUGGUCCCCACGAUGCCACCAGUACAUGUGAACCAAGCACGGAUGUUUGAUUUGAUUGCUCCCGUGCAGGACUACUUUCAAAUCCUGGCAGAAUUACUCGGAAGUGUCUACGAACUGUUGUGAAAAAUAUUUGAUUCACUGUUUUUAGACUGUGUUGGCGACAAAGAGGCACAGGGAGGGAGAUGAGGAACAUCUGGGGGGGAAGCUCAAGUCUUAACCACACCCACAGAGAGAUUUCUCAGCACUGCGCUCCCUUACCUGUUGAGCAGAGCCAGAUCUGUGCGCUAAAGGAGCCAAACGAUCUCAAAGCAACGAGAAAUUAUCGGGGUAACAUACAUGUACCAGCAUCGGUUUGGAACGAUUAUGGAUUAAACUUUUUGGGUCUGAAGAUAAACUACUACCCACAGAUCCCGAGCUGAGAUA